CAACCAGACCACAAAGAUGGCGGCUGGUAAAGUUGCUCUAGUUACCGGGGCCAAUGCUGGUCUUGGCCUAACUCUGUGUGAACGUCUACUCUCGGAACACAAAGAUCUGAAGCUAUGCCUUGCAUGUCGGAACAAGCUCCGAGCUGAAGUGGCCCAAGAAGCUCUGAAACUUUCCCAUCCUGAUGCCGACAUCUCCAUCAUAAUCGUGGACACCUCCAGCCUACAGUCAGUGUACAGGGCAGCCCGGGAGAUCAAACACAGGUACAGCCGCCUGGACCUCCUGUACCUCAACGCGGGCAUCAUGCCAGUCACCGGCUUUAACUGGUCCCACUUUGUCAAGGGCCUCUUCUCCAGUGACUGUGUGCACAUGCUGACUACCGCCCAGGGACUGCUGAAGCAGGCUGACUUCACCACGGAGGAGGGAUUCCGCAACAUCUUCGCAACCAACCUGUUCGGACAUUUUGUUCUGAUUCGCCAGCUCGAAGACAUCAUAGGGUCUACCAACAAGCCAGGCCACGUAACACAAGUUGUCUGGACAUCGUCCAGUGCUGCCCUCAAGGACAAUUUUGACAUAAAAGACAUACAGCAUAAGAACGGAUGUGACCCCUACAGUUCAUCUAAAUAUGCAACAGACAUGCUCAGUGUGGUUCUCAAUGACAAGCUCAACCACAAGGGUAUCUACUCCCACAGCGUGUGCCCCGGGCUGGUCAUGACGAACCUCACCAAUGGCAUCAUGCCGCCAUGGUUCUGGACAAUAAUGUGGCCAAUCAUAAUGCUGGUCCGGUUCUUCGUACCCAGCACAAACUAUGAGACGUACAAUGGCUGUGAGGCGCAGAUGUGGCUGUCCCAUCAACAACCUACAACCCUGGAUAGUCAUGUCAAGUUCUGUAGCGAGAGCUCAGUGUUUGGUCAUAGAUCUGUCAAACAGAAGAAGCUGAACAUCAACAUGGAGCAGGCGGAGUCUCUGUACACGCAGCUGGAGUCUCUGGAGGGGGAGUUCCGACAACAACACCACAAAUCUGGACAAUAGCACAACACAUCUUCACAACACCACAAAUCUGGACAAUAGCACAACACAUCUUCACAAUACCACAAAUUAUGUGGACGAAACCAUGACAUCUAGACAAUAGAUGGAGCUACCUCAUAUUCAUACCUAAGGGUUUGAUGACAUCUUAUUACGUCAUCGUCUCCUUGUCCGAGGCACCCAAUCUACCAUCAUAGUGAACACUUAAGUAUAAUUAUUUUACAAAAUGUUAUUGUUAAUUAUUCUUGAAAGUAAUUACCUGCCCUAAUGUCAAGGUUGUAAACAACAUUGUGUGCUAUCCCCUGGCUGUCCCCCUUCAACCAGUCACUGACAACUCCCCAAUAAAUUGUUUGUCUAAACUUUGAUGACAGCCAACCGUAACAAGUGUCAUGUAUUAGUAUGAAUUGUGUACCGCUAACUUGUAACUAUUUUUCAUGUAUUAAUUCUUUAACCAAUGACAAUUAAGAAGGAGAUUUAGUAAGUCGCAAUUUAUGUAUUGACACUGACUUACUGGGUGUAAGAGACAGGGAGGUGAACGGCCUGAUGAAGGGGCAAGAAGAGCCUGUUAGCAUCACCUACAUCGCCCACUACCCUCCUCCAAGUGAUGACAGUGACUUACUGGGUGUACGAGGACGAGGAUGACCACAGCUUUGUGGAGGACAGGGAGGUGAACGGCCUGAUGAAGGGGCAAGAAGUAGCCUGUUAGCAUCACCUACAUCGCCCACUACCCUCCUCCAAGUGAUGACAGUGACUUACUGGGUGUACGAGGACGAGGAUGACCACAGUUUUGUGGAGGACAGGGAGGUGAACGGCCUGAUGAAGGGGCAAGAAGCAGUCUGUUAGCAUCACCUACAUCGACCACUACCCUCCUCCAAGUGAUGACAGUGACUUACUGGGUGUACGAGGACGAGGAUGACCACAGUUUUGUGGAGGACAGGGAGGUGAAUGGCCUGAUGAAGGGGCAAGAAGUAGCCUGUUAGCAUCACCUACAUCGCCCACUACCCUCCUCCAAGUGAUGACACUGACAGUGACUUACUGGUGUACGAGGACGAGGAUGACCACAGCUUUGUGGAGGACAGGGAGGUGAACAUCCUGAUGAAGGGGCAAGAAGCAGCCUGUUAGCAUCACCUGCAUCGCCCACUAUCCUCCU
rnacentral:misc_RNA from 1 species